AAGCCAGGCUGAGUCCACAGAGCCAGUGGGCAGAAGAGACUGGCUGGGGACCCAGGCCCGGCCCUGGCGCCUGCCUGGGUGGACCUGCUGGGUGACCUCCUUCAGCACACCCCCCACCCCAGAACGGAACAACCGGCCCGCCUUCUUCUCCCCAUCCCUCAAGAGGAAGGUGCCCCGGAACCGGAUCGCUGAGAUGAAGAAGUCGCACUCGGCCAACGACAGUGAGGAGUUCUUCCGGGAGGACAACGGUGGAGCCGAUCUGCACAACGCAACCAACCUGCGGUCUCGGUCCCUGUCGGGCACAGGACGGUCCCUGGUCGGGUCCUGGCUGAAGCUGAACAGAGCAGAUGGAAACUUCCUUCUCUAUGCACACUUAACCUACGUCACGUUGCCGCUGCAUCGGAUUUUAACAGACAUCCUGGAAGUUCGGCAGAAGCCCAUCCUGAUGACCUAGCCGCGUGCGGAGCCUGUGCAGAGCCCCGGCCGGGCCCAGCCCUGGGAGUGCUGCCAAGUGCCUACCUGUCCACCGCCACCGGGGUCUGCUGUGACACGCCAGUGCUGGAGCCGCAGCCAGGCGAGGCCACUCGACUCCCGGGGCCGGGGCCGACUCCACGAACACCAGCCCAAACUGAAGUGCCUCUUCCCUCCCCUGCUGGCUCUGCUCCG
rnacentral:sRNA from 1 species